rnacentral:rRNA from 1 species
GACGAACGCUGGCGGCGUGCUUAACACACGCAAGUCGAGCGGUAAGGCCCUUUCGGGGGUACGACGAGCGGCGAACGGGUGAGUAACACGUGGGUGACCUGCCCUUAGCUCUGGGAUAAGCCUGGGAAACUGGGUCUAAUACCGGAUAUGACUCCAUGACGCAUGUUGUGGGGUGGAAAGCCUUGUGCGGCUAGGGAUGGGCCCGCGGCCUAUCAGCUUGUUGGUGGGGUGAUGGCCUACCAAGGCGACGACGGGUAGCCGGCCUGAGAGGGCGACCGGCCACACUGGGACUGAGACACGGCCCAGACUCCUACGGGAGGCAGCAGUGGGGAAUCUUGCGCAAUGGGCGAAAGCCUGACGCAGCGACGCCGCGUGAGGGAUGACGGCCU